UGAGCAAUCUGCCCUUCUCAUCGGAAUAAGCGUUGGAAACGACGUCUAAUGCCGAAUACGACCUCCUUUCGCAUGAUCGGAGGUGGAAAGCUCCGGCGGAGAAGGAUGAGCUCGCGGCCUAUCAGCUUGUUGGUGAGGUAAUGGCUCACCAAGGCGACGACGGGUAGCCGGCCUGAGAGGGUGACCGGCCACACUGGGACUGAGACACGGCCCAGACUCCUAGGAGG
rnacentral:rRNA from 1 species